GGUGCGGUUCGGGAACGCGACGGUGAUGGGGACGACGCAGGAGGAUUCGAGGGAGAACGGCGGGCGCGGCGAGAAAAAAAAACAGAACGAUAGAAACAGAGAGGAGAGAGAAAGAGGAAAGAGAAAAAGUAAGAAGGGCAUUUUGGUCAGGCGGACGAAAAAGCGGACCGAAUCUGCAAAAACGAAAAAGAUGGCCCGGUUUUUAAA
rnacentral:lncRNA from 1 species